CAGCCUCUCUCCCCUCUCUCUCGUCGCCGCCGAUUCGCCGCUCCGGCGGCGCCCCUCUCUCCCUCUCUUAUUUCCCUUCUCUUCUUCUCCUCUCUCUUCUCUCUUCUCUCAUCCUCACGCCGCCGCCAUCCCCCUCCGUCUUCCUCCAGAUCCGCCGCCGCCGCCACUGUGCAUGCACAGGCGGUGGCUUCGGCCACCUCCGCGCCUCGCACCGUUGGCCGCCGCCACUUCCGACACCCCUCCCCCGCCGUACGUCAUUUUUCUGAUGGGUUGUAAAGCAUGAAAAUCAGCGACGGAUUUUGGAGCGUGGCUGUCACCGUCGGUGACAGAGUGCCGAGCUUACUGACGGAAACCUCACCGGCAGACUCCUAUGUCAUUUCAAGCUAAGUUCCUAUUAUCCUUUGAGAAUCUGCCGUUUUUAUGUUCGUGAGAUGCUAUAGCAACUAUGUUCUUGAGGUGCUAAAUUGCCUAUAUGCAAUAUGUUAUAAUACAUGGAAAAAGUGAGGUGUUGAUGGUACUCAACUUUGUAUGAUUGUGAAAAGGAAUUGCUGAAUUUGUCUCUUUUAUGAUACUAUGACAAAGGUCUUGGUGGAUUGCUUCCUCCUGCUUUCGUUGGGAGAGUAUUGUUGUUGGGAGAGUAUUGUGGGAGUUUUGUUUAUGUGAAGUGGGUGGAUGAAAAUGAUUGUAUAUCUAUAUACAUAUACACAAAAGAUAGCGGUGAAAGUGACGUGUAGCAAGUUGCCUGACAUUCCUAUCUCAAAUUAUUCUCUUUUGUCAGAAAGAGAUAUGAUUUACAUGCUUUAAUUAAAUGCAAUAUUUAAUGUUGUUGAUACACAUGGUCGGCCCUCUCUUUUUUUUGUAUCUUAUUUGAUUAUUAAAUGAAUUAUUUUGUUUACUUAAUCAUUUAAUUUGGUGUAGGUAUAAUCGGUUCAACUUCGUGGCCGUCCGCGUUGAAGUACCCGCUUUCUUAAAACAUAUGAUGUAUAAAUUAAAUUUUGUUGGACUUUUGUUGGAUGUAUCGGACAUUAACAUUUUGAUUAUGGGAAUUUAUUAAAUUCGUAUA